CAUGCAAGUCGAGCGCCCCGCAAGGGGAGCGGCAGACGGGUGAGUAACGCGUGGGAAUCUACCUAGUUCUACGGAACAACACAGGGAAACUUGUGCUAAUACCGUAUACGCCCUACGGGGGAAAGAUUUAUCGGAAUUAGAUGAGCCCGCGUAAGAUUAGCUAGUUGGUGGGGUAAUGGCCUACCAAGGCGACGAUCUUUAGCUGGUCUGAGAGGAUGAUCAGCCACACUGGGACUGAGACACGGCCCAGACUCCUACGGGAGGCAGCAGUGGGGAAUAUUGGACAAUGGGCGAAAGCCUGAUCCAGCCAUGCCGCGUGAGUGAUGAAGGCCUUAGGGUUGUAAAGCUCUUUCAGUGGGGACGAUAAUGACGGUACCCACAGAAGAAGCCCCGGCUAACUUCGUGCCAGCAGCCGCGGUAAUACGAAGGGGGCUAGCGUUGUUCGGAUUUACUGGGCGUAAAGCGCACGUAGGCGGAUCGUUAAGUCGGGGGUGAAAUCCUGGAGCUCAACUCCAGAACUGCCUUCGAUACUGGCGAUCUUGAGUCCGGAAGAGGUGAGUGGAACUCCUAGUGUAGAGGUGGAAUUCGUAGAUAUUAGGAAGAACACCAGUGGCGAAGGCGGCUCACUGGUCCGGUACUGACGCUGA
rnacentral:rRNA from 1 species